rnacentral:rRNA from 1 species
CAGCAGCCGCGGGAAUACGAAGGGGGCUAGCGUUGUUCGGAAUUACUGGGCGUAAAGCGCACGUAGGCGGACAUUUAAGUUAGGGGUGAAAUCCCGGGGCUCAACCCCGGAACUGCCUUUGAUACUGGGUGUCUAGAGUAUGGAAGAGGUGAGUGGAAUUCCGAGUGUAGAGGUGAAAUUCGUAGAUAUUCGGAGGAACACCAGUGGCGAAGGCGGCUCACUGGUCCAUUACUGACGCUGAGGUGCGAAAGCGUGGGGAGCAAACAGGAUUAGAUACCCCGGUAGUCCCUGUCUCUUAUAA